rnacentral:lncRNA from 1 species
CCGACAAUCGUAUGUUUAUAUGUCCAACAAAACGGAUCGGGCUAAAUAUUCUGACCCGAUUCUCACUAAACCAAAAUAGAACCGAUUCCUGCUCAACUACGCAACUAACAAGGCCCUCCUGAACCACAAAACACCUGCGCCUAACAAAAAGAGAGAAAACAGGAAACAACUGCCCUUCAAUUUGCAUCCUACGCAAGGACCCAAACUCAACUACCCUAACCCCUCCACAGAUCUCCUGUAACACACCACAGCGCAGAACACAUCUGGGAGACGCGAUGGAAGAGGUGAGCAAGAAGAAAGAACAGAAACAAGUCAGAUAGAUAUGGGAGAGGGGAAAGUACCUGGAGAGAAUCAAAAGGGAAGAGCAGCUGCCAAUAUUUGGGGGAGGACAGAGGAAGAUCAUCCAAGAUAUGAUCCACAUGUCAGAAACUCUCCUACUCCUUUUGCUCACCCUUCUGAUGUACAGACACCUUUUACAUGAACUUGUCUGUAGAAAACAUCAAAGAAUCUAGUGAAAAAAUGGAAUCAUCAGCUUCUAACAGAUUGAAAAAGCAACACUGAAAUUUAUUUAGAUCAGGGUAAAAACAGCAAACCAACAGGAAACAUAGAGUUAAAAAGCAUUGUAAAUACACACGAAAAUAAGGGCAUAUGGUAAGUACACAUGAAAAUAUGUGCUCCAUUACGGUGUAAUGAAGCUGCAAUUUGCAUUGUCAGAAAACUAGGAAAUUAGAGAUAAAGCAUGGACUAUGAUAAAUGUGGGAUAUUACACUGUAAGGCAACUGAGGAUAUACAGUGAGAAAAUCAUAGGAAUUCCACUGUAAAUACCUACAGUAUAUAUAAUGUAAAAAAUGAGGUAUUUACAGAGCGUAACUCCCUAAAAAAAUCUUAGGUAUUCCACUGCAAUACCUACAAGUUUUACAAUGACUAUGUAGUAAAACUGGGGGAUAUUACAGUGAAAUCAAAUUGAAAAAGCACACUGUGGAAUGACAACAAUGAAGUAGGCACAAAGACAACAACUCAGAGACAUCAGAGAAAAUUCACUGAACAAAUCAGUGGAAAUUGCAGUGCAAACACCAAAGAAUGGCAGCGAUGAAUAACCACAGUAAAUUACAGUGCAAACACCAAUGAUUUACAGUGACUAAGGCCCUGUUCGGCAGCUCUCCAGCUCCGUAUAAUACGGGAGCGGACGGAGCGCCAGUUUUACAACUCCAGGAAAAUGCACUACGGGCCGCUCCGCUCCGGCCGCUCCAGGAGCAGAGCUGCGUAACGGAGGGCUGCCGAACACGGCCUAAAGCUCUAGAAUUACACUAUACAAUAUAAGGAAUUACUCUGAAAGUAAAUUACAGUGAAGGUACACAUGAAGUACGGUGCUUCACAAGGAAAAUUUACAGUCUAAAUACACUUGAAUUACUAUAAAUAAAUACAGCAAUAUACAAUCUAGGCACGCAGAAAUUAAACAGAAGCAAUUCAGGGCAUUCUGACAAAUUACGGUAAGCUCCUUGGAGGAACAUGUACGCACAAUGUCACACGAGUCUGCUGUUCAUAAGUUACUAUUAAUCAUAAAAGUGUU